rnacentral:lncRNA from 1 species
CCAUUCCCUGAGGAAGAUCCUGGACCUGACGGGGAGGGCCUCCUAAAGCAAGGGCUGCCGCCUGCUCAGCUGGAGGGCCUCAAGAAUUUUUUGCACCAGUUGCUGGAGACAGUGCCCCAGAACAAUGAGAACCCUUCUGUCGACCUGUUGCCCCCUAAGUCUGGUCCUCUGACUGUCCCAUCUUGGGAGGAAGCCCCUCAAGUGCCACGUAUUCCACCGCCUGUCCACAAAACCAAAGUUCCCUUAGCCAUGGCAUCCAGUCUUUUCCGGGUCCCUGAGCCUCCCUCCUCCCAUUCACAAGGCAGUGGUCCCAGCAGUGGUUCCCCAGAGAGAGGUGGAGAUGGGCUUACAUUCCCAAGGCAGCUGAUGGAGGUGUCUCAACUGUUGCGACUCUACCAGGCUCGGGGCUGGGGGGCUCUGCCUGCUGAGGAUCUCCUGCUCUACCUGAAGAGGCUGGAACACAGCGGGACUGAUGGCCGAGGGGAUAAUGUCCCCAGAAGGAACACAGACUCCCGCUUGGAUUCCCUCCCAGGCUGUCCCUCGCCGCCUUGCUACAGCCCC